CUGUCAGCGAAGAGAUUGUUUACAUGCAAUGAGGCUGAGUUUAAAAGAAGGCAGAAAGAAAGAAGAAAACACUAUGACUACAGUUCUGUGAGUGUGCAUAACCAUACAGAAAGACACAAAAAUCUCAUCAGAUUGGCUACAGCUCAAGACCAACCUCACAAAUCCUUUUUCACUAAUUAAAACUUUACAGAGAAUGUAAACAAUGAUUCUUAUCAUUCCUUUUACCAGUGUUCAAAGGGAGAGGGAAGAAAAAAGCCCAACUGGUAAGAA
rnacentral:lncRNA from 1 species